GGAUGUGAUACGCACACAAUAACAGUAUGUAUAGGUCAUAUUUUAUUUUAAAAAUUUUAAAAUUAAAACGUGAAGAUGAUGUGGCGUUUGAAAGAAGAUAUUGAUUCGGAUACUUUGUACAAUAACGAUGAGGAAAUCGGCGCUAGUAGGCCCUACAGGUCUGUGUCCGCCCUGAAGAAGAUCUUCAUUUUUUGAAGGUGAAGCUACAAUAUUUGUCUUGAACUUGACUUUACUAGCUGGGCUUAUAAAGACAAGAUAUCCAGAAGUGAUUUCAUAGAGAAAUGGAAAUCAAUAAUACCUAGAAGCAUGUGAAGUGGAGAUGAAGUGAUGCUGAGAACUUUUAAGGAAACUUCUCAGUGAAGUACGAUGAUGGCACACAAGAGUACCUUCUUCAUGUUCUUCAUGGGAUAAAGCACAGGAUCAUUAUAAUCAGGAGUUACUCACAGGAUCAUUAUAAUCAGGAGUUACUCACAGGAUCAUUAUAAUCAGGAGUUACUCACAGGAUCAUUAUAAUCAGGAGUUACUCACAGGAUCAUUAUAAUCAGGAGUUACUCACAGGAUCAUUAUAAUCAGGAGUUACUUACAGGAUCAUUAUAAUCAGGAGUUACUCACAGGAUCAUUAUACCCCCAAAAACGAAGUUUGGGUGGGUAUAUAGGAGUCACCCGGUGGUCGGUCGGUCGGUCCAGACGUCCGUUGCAUUUUCCUUGUCCGGAGCAUAACUUGAAGACUAAUAGUUGGAAUUCAAUAUGACUUCAUACAAUGGUCAAGCACAUGGAGAGGAAGUGCAGUGCACAAGAAUCAUAACUCUAUCUUGACUAAUUACAGAGUUAUUGCCCUUUGUUCCUUUUCCUUGUCCGGGGUAUAACUUGAAAACUACUGGUUGGAAUUCAAAACAACUUCAUACAAUUGUCAAACACAAUAAGGGGCAGUGCAGUGCACAAGAACCAUAACUCUAUUUAAAGUAAUUUCAGAGUUAUUGCCCUUUGUUACUUUUCCAUUACUUUCUUUUGUCCGGACCAUUACUUGAAGACUGAUGGUUGGAAUUCAAUAUAACUACAUACAAUGGUCAAGCACAUUGAGAGGAAGUGCAGUGCACAAGAACCAUAACUCUAUCUUGACUAAUUACAGAGUUAUUGCCCUUUGUUACUUUUCCUUGUCCGAACAUAACUUGAAAAUUACUGGUUGGAAUUCAAAACAACUUCAUACAAUUGUCAAACACAAUAAGGGGAAGUGCAGUGCAUAAGAACCAUAACUCUAUCUAAAGUAAUUACAGAGUUAUUGCCCUUUGUUACUUUUCCAUUGCUUUCUUUUGUCCGGACUAUAACUUGAGGACUAAUUGUUGGAAUUCAUUAUAACUUCAUACAUUGGUCAAGCACAUUGAGAGGAAGUGCAGUGCACAAGAACAAUAACUCCAUCUUGACUUAUUACAGAGUUACUGCCCUUUGUUACUUUACCUUGUCCAGAGCAUGACUUGGAAACUACUGGUUGGAAUUCAAUACAACUUCAUACAGUUGUCAAGGACAAUAAGGGGAUGUGCAGUGCACAAGAGCCAUAACUUCAUCUUGACUAAUUACAGAGUUAUUGUCCUUUGUUUCUUUUCCAUUGCUUUUUUUGUCCGGAUCAUAACUUGAAGACUAAUGGUUGGAAUUCAAUAUAACUACAAACAAUGGUCAAGCACAUUGAGAGGAAGUGCAGUGCACAAGAACCAUAACUCCAUCUUGAGUUAUUGCCCUUUGUUACUUUUCCUUGUCCAAAGCAUAACUUGAAAACUACUGUUUGGAAUUCAAUACAACUUCAUACAGUUGUCAAGGACAUUAAAAGGAAGUGCAGUGCAUAAGAGCCAUAACUCCAUUUUGACAAAAUACAGAGUUACUGCCCUUUGAUACUUUUCCUUGUCUGGAGCAUAACUUAAAAGGUACUGGUUGAAAUUCAAAACAACUUCAUACAAUGGUCAAGCACAAAAAGAGGAAGUGCAGUACACAAGAACUAUAACUCCAUCUUCAGUAUUUAUAGAGUUAUUGCCCUUUGUUCCUUUUCUUUGUCUUUCUUGACUUAUUACAGAGUAAUUCAAUAAAACUUCAUCAAUGGCCAACCACAGUGAAAGGAAACAUACAAGAACCAUAACUAUCUUUAAUUGCCCACAACCAUAACUCUAUAUUUCAAUUCUUUUACAAGGUAUUCUGUUACUAGUAACAUGCUCAUUUCCGAGGCAGUCUUGUGGGGGUAUUAAUCACAUUUAGUGAUAGUUCUAGUUAUAAUCAGGAGUUACUCACAGGAUCGUUAUAAUCAGGAGUUACUAGUACUCAGUCAACAUAGACUCAAUGUUAAAAAAGAAUUAAAUGGAUAUUAAUGUUAGCCUAAAUAUAUUUGACCUAGAGUCUUUAGUUUGUGUUGGGGCACCCAUGUCCUUUGGAUACUUUUCUAGUUACAAUUUAUUUAGACAUUAGUGUAAAUACAACGAAAUUAAUUAUUUAAUGCUGUUCAUGUUUGAACUAUGUUUUAAUCUUACCUACAUGUAUAAAAAUCAAACAUUUUUAGCUCGACUAUUUAAUAAGAAUAAGUAUAGCUAUUGUAGUCACCCGAGUGGCGGCGUAACCUCCUAUGUUAAAGUUUUUGUAAUACCACAAAUAUUUUCAAAGUCCAUUGACAUAUGGCUUUGAAACUUAGGGCACUUGUUAACCAUCAUGACCCCAAUCUGUAGACAGGAGGAGGUAACUGUAUUGAGCAUUUUGACAGAAUUAUGCCCCUUUUACGACUUAGAAUUUACAUUCAAGUUUUUGAAAUACCACCUCAGAUAUUUUCAAAGUCCAUUGACUUAUGGCUCUGAAACUUUGCACACUUGUUCACCAUCAUGACCCCAACCUGUUGACAGGAGGAGGUAACCGUAACAAAUAUUUUGACAGAAUUAUGCCCCUUUUCCGACUUAGAAUUUACGUUAAAGUUUUUGUAACACCUCAAAUAUUUUCAUAGUCCUCAAAACUUUGCACACUUGUUUAACGUCAUUACCCCAACCUGUAGACAGGAGGAGGUAACUGUAUGAAGCAUUUUGAGAGAUUAAUGCCACUUUUUCAACUUAGAAUUUACAUUUAAGUUUGCAUACCACGUCAAAUAUUUUCAUAUUGCUUUUAAACAAGUUGAAAUUUUAAACUUUUCUUUGAGAGUAUAAUAUGACUCCCUCUCAAAGGCUUAUAACUGUAACAUGGAUUUAAAGAAAAAAUUUACCCUUUUGUUAACUUAGAAAAUUUUACAUUAUCAAGGCUCUUUUACUAUCAAGCACUAAGAAUAGUCGAGCGUUGCAAUCGUAGAAUAAUACAAUAUUUUAUUGAUACUCGAUACAUUUUAAGUUUGCAGCAUUAAGUUUUAUGCAGCUUAAGAAGUUUUAUUAUAUUGCUUGUUUUUCAUUUUACAAAGAUAGAAAUUUUGACCAUACAAAACAACUCAAAUUGCAUUUUAAAAGGUGUAAAAUUUGAAUAAUUUACUGCAUAGUGUAUACAUGUAAAUGGUUUAAUUAUACCCCCACAAACGAAGUUUAGGGGGGGUAUAUAGGAGUCAGCUUGUCGGUCGGUCGGUCGGUCCGUCCGUCGGUCGGUCCACAUCAUGGUUUCCGGACGAUAACUAGAGUUUGGAAUGAGGUAUUGUAAUCAAACUUGGUAUAUAGCAACCUUAUGUGGAAACUCCGGUUGGUAUUGCAUUUGGACCCCCUGGGGUCAAGGUCAAGGUCACCGUUACUAAAAAUAGAAAAAUGGUUUCCGGACAAUAACUAGAGUUAGGAAUGAGGUAUUGUUAUCAAACUUGGCGUAUAGCAAGCUUAUAUGAAGACCUGGGUUGGUAUUGCAUAUGGGCCCCCUGGGGUAAAGGUCAAGGUCACCGUUACGAAAAAUAGAAAAAUGGUUUCCAGACAAUAACUUGACUUAGGAAUGAGAUACUGUAAUCAAACUUGGUGUAUAGCAAGCUAAUAUGAAGACCUGGGUUGCUAUUGCAUUUGGACCCCCUGGGGUCAAGGUCAAGGUCACCGUAUCUAAAAAUAGAAAAAUGGUUUCCAGACAAUAACUUGACUUAGGAAUGAGAUACUGUAAUCAAACUUGGUGUAUAGCAAGCUAAUAUGAAGACCUGGGUUGCUAUUGCAUUUGGACCCCCUGGGGUCAAGGUCAAGGUCACCGUAUCUAAAAAUAGAAAAAUGGUUUCCGGACAAUAACUAGAGUUAGGAAUGAGAUAUUGUUAUCAAACUUGGCGUAUAGCAAGCAUAUAUGAAGACCUUGGUUGGUAUUGCAUUUGGGCCCCCUGGGGUCAAGGUCACCGUUACGAAAAAUAGAAAAAUGGUUUUCGGACAAUAACUAGAGUUAGAAAUGAGAUAUUGUAAUCUAAUUUGGUGUAUAGGAAGCUUAUAUGAAGACCUGGGUUGGUAUUGCAUUUGGACCCCCUAGGGUCAAGGUCAUCGUUACAGUGUUACUAAAAAUAGAAAAAUGGUUUCCGGACAAUAACUAGAGUUAGGAAUGAGAUAUUGUAAUCAAACUUGGUGUAUAGCAAGCUUAUUUCGAGACCCCAGUUGCGAUUACAAUUAAUUGAAAUAUUUCUUUGUACACAUUUGAUAGUUUGCGUUCAAAUUUUUCUUCAGACAACUUUUUUUUCCAAAAGUCAAAGUUGCUGGUGGGGGUAUUAAUCACCUUCAGUGAUAGGUCUAGUUGCAUUUGCAGACAAUAUUACCUUUAAUGAAAAAGGCUAUUAAUAUUAUUUUUUUUUAUAAAAAGCAGUACAAGUACUGACCAAUCAAUUUAUGUUAAAUAUUUCAGUUAAAGCUGCACACCUCCAGAUUCAUGUUAAAUUUUAAUAGAAAUUUAGAAAAUUAAAAGUUAUAUAUUGUGUGAACAUAGAAAGUAUUUUCACAUUUCAUUGAACGAAACAAUCUGUAAACUACCAAAACCAGGUGACAAUAUGCAGAAAUAACUUUUAAUUUACUGGGUUAGUCAAUGAGUAGAAAUAUGGGAAGAAAUACUACAACAAUUUGUCAUAUAUUGCAUGUAAUAUGCACGUUACCACUUGCAUUGAUAAUUAUUUUUACUUUUCUUAAACAUUUUUCUCAAGUUUGAUUUUCAUGAAAUAGACUUGGUCAUCUGGAGGCAAUUGAAACUUUAAUGCAGCAUGUGGUCAGAAUGCUUUUGUGUAAUACAAAAAUACCACUGGCAAAUUGUUAUAAUCAAGCAGAGGCAAUCGGUAGUAUUAUUUUCCUUGCCCUGUUGACUGACAUCUGUUUAUGAUAUAAACAAAGGCUAAAAAAUGGCUUUUAUAUUUCAUUGAUAUAAAUUUAAUUGAUUUAAUUUGUUUAUCUUGUACUGAGGUAUAUUUAAAUUUGCUUUUAAUUUUGAAAAUAUUGAUACAGUUGUAAAACGGUAUGAACCAGUAAGUUUUGAAACAGUUUUCAGUACCGGGUCACGGUCUAAGUACCGAGUAGUGGUUUCAAACCCGGCCAACAUUAUCAAUGUGUCUGCUCUAAUAUAGAAUUAUAUAUAAAAAUUGACAUUGACACUUUUAAGACAUUGUCCUUUAAGGUUAAAUUAUUGAAUUUUCACUUAUUUUUGCUAUAAUUGACUGUAACUUCGUAAUUAUUAAAUGUGUUAUCUUCAUACUUUGACAAAACAACAUUUAGGGGUGGACCUUCUAAAAAGUUGAAAUGACCGUGACCUUAAGCUUUAAAUGACCUUGACUGUCAAGGUCAGAUUAGUGUCUCUUGAUUUUUUUUAACUGGCUAAAUGGAUUUUCUUCAUAUUAAGACACAACAUCAUAUUUCUUUAAUGCUGGUGGAACAAUUUCAAAUCAAUUGUAUUAUUAUUUUAUGAUGUUACUUUCAGUUUUAUUUUUAUUAAACCAUAAAAAGUUGUUAAGGAUUUUAAUUUCAUGUAAUAAGUAAAAUUUCUUUCGGGGAACAGGAUUAUUUAUGAAUUUAUUUUUUCUUUGCAUUAGAUGAAAUCAUAUUUCUGUUCUGCUGGCGGAACAAUUUCAAAUGAGUUACAUUAUUUGAUUUUAGUUUAAGAAAUAUUUUUUUGACAAGAUCUUCCUAGGGUGUUACAAAUUGUAUCUUGUAGUAAAAAAAUGUUCCGCCAGCAGAACAGAAUCACUUAUGGUUAUAUCCUAUGUUUAAACUGAUGUUAUCAUACUUAUGUUCCGCCGGCAGAACAAUUUCAAAUCAAUUUUAUUAAAUGAUAUUCGUUCUGGAUUAUAUUUUUGAUUAAUCCUAAAAAGGUUAAGAAUUUUUUUGUAGUAAAUAAAUGUUCCGCCGGCAGAACAGAAUCACUUAUGGUUAUAUCCUAUGUUUAAACUGAUGUUAUCAUACUUAUGUUCCGCCGGCAGAACAAUUUCAAAUCAAUUUUAUUAAAUGAUAUUCGUUCUGGAUUAUAUUUUUGAUUAAUCCUAAAAAGGUUAAGAAUUUUUUUGUAGUAAAUAAAUGUUCCGCCGGCAGAACAGAAUCACUUAUGAUUAUAUCCUAUGUUUAAAGUGAUGUUAUCAUAUUUAUGUUCCGCCAGCAGAACAAUUUCAAAUCAAUUUUAUUAAAUGAUAUUCUUUCUGAAUUAAAUGUUUAAUUAAACCUAAAAAGGUUGUUAAGAGUUUUCUUGUUAUAAAUAAAUGUUCCGCCGGCAGAACAGAAUCACUUAUGGUUAUUUCCUAUGUUUAAAUUGAUGUUAUCAAACUUAUGUUCCGCCGGCAGAACAAUUUCAAAUCAAUUUUAUUAAAUGAUAUUCUUUCUGAUUUAUAUUUUUGAUUAAACCUAAAAAGGUUAUUAAGAUUUUUCUUGUUAUAAAUAAAUGUUCCGCCGGCAGAACAGAAUCACUUAUGAUUAUAUCCUUUGUUUAAAUUGAUGUUAUCAAACUUAUGUUCCGCCGGCAGAACAAUUUCAGAUCAAUUUUAUUAAAUGAUAUUCUUUCUGAAUUAAAUGUUUAAUUAAACCUAAAAAGGUUGUUAAGAGUUUUCUUGUUAUAAAUAAAUGUUCCGCCGGCAGAACAGAAUCACUUAUGGUUAUUUCCUAUGUUUAAAUUGAUGUUAUCAAACUUAUGUUCCGCCGGCAGAACAAUUUCAAAUCAAUUUUAUUAAAUGAUAUUCUUUCUGAUUUAUAUUUUUGAUUAAACCUAAAAAGGUUAUUAAGAUUUUUCUUGUUAUAAAUAAAUGUUCCGCCGGCAGAACAGAAUCACUUAUGAUUAUAUCCUAUGUUUAAAUUGAUGUUAUCAAACUUAUGUUCCGCCGGCAGAACAAUUUCAAAUCAAUUUUAUUAAAUGAUAUUCUUUCUGAAUUAUAUUUUUAAUUAAACCUAAAAAGGUUGUUAAGAAUUUUCUUGUUAUAAAUAAAUGUUCCGCCGGCAGAACAGAAUCACUUAUGGUUAUAUCCUAUGUUUAAAUUGAUGUUAUCAAACUUAUGUUCCGCCGGCAGAACAAUUUCAAAUCAAUUUUAUUAAAUGAUAUUCUUUCUGAAUUAUAUUUUUGAUUAAACCUAAAAAGGUUAUUAAGAUUUUUCUUGUUAUAAAUAAAUGUUCCGCCGGCAGAACAGAAUCACUUAUGGUUAUAUCCUAUGUUUAAAUUGAUGUUAUCAAACUUAUGUUCCGCCAGCAGAACAUUUUCAAAUCAAUUUUUAUUAAAUGAUAUUCUUUCUGAAUUAUAUUUUUGAUUUAACCUAAAAAGGUUGUUAAGAAUUUUAAUAUAUUGUAAUAAGUAAAUGUUCUGCCGGCGGAACAGGAUUAUUUAUGAAUUUAUUUUUCCUUUGCGUUAGAGUGAAUCAUAUUUCUGUUCUGCUGGCGGAACAAUUUCAAAUGAUUACAUUAUUUGAUUUUAAUUUAAGAAAUAUAUUUUUGACAAAAUUUUGCAAAGGUGUUAAAAAUUGUAUCUUGUAGUAAAUAAAUGUUCCGCCGGCAGAACAGAAUCACCUACGGUUAUAUCCUAUAGAUGUUUAAAUUGAUGUUAUCAUACUUUUGUUCCGCCGGCAGAACAAUUUCAAAUCAAUUUUAUUAAAUGAUAUUCUUUCUGAGUUAUAUUUUUGAUUAAACCUUUAAAGGUUGUUAAGAAUUUUGAUAUGUUGUUAUAAGUAAAUGUUCCGGCGGCGGAACAGGAAUUUUUAUGAUUCUAUCUUAUUUUUGCAUUCAUAUGGACUGGAAUCAUAUAUCUGUUCUGCUGGCGGAACAAUUCCAAUGAGUUCUUUUAUUUGAUUUUUACUUUAAGAAAUGCAUUUGUUACAAAAUCUUGCAAAGGUUGUUCAGAAUUGUGAUAUGUUGUAAUUAAUAAAUGUUCCGCCGGCAGAACAGAAUCACUUAUGGUUAUAACCUAGUAUGUUUUGAUACAUGUUUUCAUACUUAUGUUCCGCUGGCGGAACAAUUUAAGACUGAACUAUUUUGUAAAAUAACUUAAUAUAUGUUUUAUUUAAUGUUCCGCCGGCAGAACAUUUUAGCAUUUUUGGAUUCUUGCUAUCUCGCAGAAAGAACUGCUAAAUGUUCUGCUGGCGGAACAAAUCAUGAUUUAUUUGUGAUAAUAUGCUGUAUUUUUAUAACAAAAUGAAAUAAAUUUUGUGUUAAAUAUAUUUUCA